AGUGACGAUAGCCUAGGAGAUACACCUGUUCCCAUGCCGAACACAGAAGUUAAGCCCUAGUACGCCUGAUGUAGUUGGGGGUUGCCCCCUGUUAGAUA
rnacentral:rRNA from 1 species